rnacentral:rRNA from 1 species
CCCACGGARGAGUUUGYACACCCGAAGUCGGUGAGGUAYCCUUUAUGGAGCCAGCCGCCGAAGGUGGGRCAGAUGAUUGGGGUGAAGUCGUAACAAGGUAGCCGUAUCGGAAGGUGCGGCUGGAUCACCUCCUUUCUAAGGAUAUAUGGAGCAGCGUGCGUUUUCGUCUUGUUUAGUUUUGAAGGAUCAUUCCUUCAAAACWUGUCUCU